rnacentral:rRNA from 1 species
CCCAAGAGAUCGGGAUAACACCUGGAAACAGAUGCUAAUACCGGAUAACAACAGAUGAUGCCUAUCAACUGUUUAAAAGAUGGUUCUGCUAUCACUCUUGGAUGGACCUGCGGUGCAUUAGCUAGUUGGUAGGGUAACGGCCUGCCAAGGCGAUGAUGCAUAGCCGAGUUGAGAGACUGAUCGGCCACAUUGGGACUGAGACACGGCCCAAACUCCUACGGGAGGCAGCAGC